GGAAAGUUACAAGAAGAACAAGAAUGAUUACCUCAUCCGGUCUUGUGACGUUUGUUGUUUAUAGAUUUUCCGCACACAGCAGAUGUCUAGACCCUGGACAGAUAACAGAAAUACACAUUGCCACUCAAUCUGUAUUCAUCUUGUGACUUCUCCUUGGAAGAAGGAGAGAGGGACCCUAAGAGGGACCCUAGGAGGGACGUAAAGGAGUUGAUGAAAUCCUGUUACGACAGACAAUCAGAUGGUAUGGCCUCUGAGGACCCCUAAAACCAACUGGAUGAGGCUAUUAAAAAGGCAGAACGCUGAGGAGCUCAACCAAGAGAAGGACCCACAAGCCUAAAUGGACGAGGCCAUUAAUGAGGCAAAAGGGCUGGCUGAGGAGCUCAACCCAGAACCGCUCCAAGGGCAUAUCAAGAGCCAGACUAGUGCAACCUUCUGGGCCAGUCACCGAGGAGGAAGAAUCAGAGACGAGGACCAGUGGAUUGGAAUCCACUCCAGUUUUCAACAUUGAUGAAGAAAUAGGGUUAUGGAAAAGGGGUAUGUGGAGCAUCCCAGUGGACAGCAGCUAAAGAGUCGUCAAGGAAAACAAACGACAAACUUGAUGAAGAGGGACUCGAAGUUGCCGUCUGCUGCCACAGAAUACUUCUAAGGAGCCUCAACAUGAUGCGUGGAGAGAUAUUUGCGUACCCACUUCUUGCAGAAGGAAUUGUAUGGCAGCAGGAACAUACAAUUCAUAAGUACGGAUGUGAUCUGCAAAUUUUGGCCAUACCUGACCAAAGUUGCCCUUCAUUGUCCAGAGCUCACCACUCUUCUAGACAUGAAGCCACUUCUUUCUGUCAUGCAUGCAAAGGCACAUCGUUUGAAAUGCGCGGUAAGUUUUUCUUUAUUAAACUGUUCAACGAGAAUUUCCAGCUUCAGUCCUUUACAAGGCUUCCCAUUUAGAUGUUUGUUAUUCACAUAAUUGCAAUAUUAAGUCAAUAUUUUUUUUAAUGUAAAUUAAGAUUAAGUGGGGAGGGCGGAAUCAGGAAAUAGCUGGCACAGCUCUGGGUGGAACAAGGGAACAGCUUAUUGUCGAAGGCUGCAAUCUGUUCCAAGCAAAUGUCCAAAGGAGGUAAACAAUUAGUUUAAGGUUGUUCUAUUCAGCUAUGUUAAUACUUAUCUGGAAUAAGGAGUUCUAUUUGGCUUUUCUAGCAAGAACAGACAUGCUAACCAUCCAGGCCAUGGGGUGGAACAGAAGAUACUUGAAGACAACAGCAAAUCCAGGAGGAGACCCAGACUCUCAAAAACUUUCAGAGUGAUUUGGGUGUAGGCGAUGAGACUCUGUACAACUGGACAACGGAAGUUCAGCAAUGGGCUAAUACAGAGGAAACAAAUAUGAACAUGGAUGGUCCCCAGGUACUACAGAGAACAAUUUAAGUCCUUUUUCUUAGCAUCAAACAAAGGAAACAGAACCUCUACCGUCAGACAGAUGGAUGCAAGAAAAGACACCCUCUGCGCAGAAAGAUAUUGGUAGAAAAGGCCAAAUUGACAGCUACCAUAGAGGAGUACAACACCCUUGUACCAGAUUCAGCAAUACGAUCUGCAGAUGAGAUCCUUUCCGCAGACCUUCAUGCAUGGCCUUGGGAGCUGAAUGGACAAACUGACCUACUCACAAAUAAAAUAGCCUUUGGCCGUGUGAUGCUCCUGAGACGGCUGAAGGAGGAGGAGUUAAUUGUCCUAAAGGAAGUCAAGCAGCACUGGGAAAGCCUAAAGAAGGAAUCGGACAAUGUGCAAGACCUUGCUUCAUAUGUGGUACUUGACCUAAGCAGGCAAAGUAGGGGAACUUUCAUUAAUAUGUACAAUUGAUGAUGGCACCCUGUAAUUGCUAUUGUAUUUAAGGAAUAUUUCAUUGUAUUUACCCACAUUACAAUUGUUGGUGUUAGGCUGGCAAUUGAAUCAGUCGAGAAGCUGGGCGCAAAGGUCAAAGCUGGGCGCAGAGGACAGUCAGCAGCCUCCGAAGACACCAAGCCUCUGUCAAACUGAUAUACAGCAAAGCUAUGAGCCAAGACACCUCCCUCCUAGAAAAUAACUUCAUAGGUGACCUCCUGGAAGAGGACCUAGAUGACAUCUAUGAAAGCAUCCACUACAGCUCUGAUGACGAGGAAUCUAAUCACAGACUGACGGUGUUCGUUUGGGUGGGUGCAGUUUGCACUGAGUGAAAAGUGAUUCCAUUUGUUUUGCAUAUGUGCUUUAUCUGCCUUCCCAAGGAAAAAUAGAUUGAACAUUUUAUGGAAAAUAAACUUUUAUGUUUCUUCCUUGUUGACAAUGUGAUCAUGUGGCACAGAUUUGAGAAGGGCGCUCGUCUGUUACUGCUUUUGCCCUGGUACACGACCAGGUCCAAUGCACCCCUUUAAAUGGCCAAGCUGAGGUUGCUACAUCCACUUUUGGAUUCUUGAAGAAUAUAAUUUAUAAAUGCCUCAUGAACAUAGUUCAACUGCCGUACCCCAUCAGAUCCCAAAAUAUAUAUUUUGUUCUACUCCAAUGUUUGUAAACAAAGUAAAUGUAAACAUACACGAGCAUGUGUCAAAAUCAUUCCACGGGUGAGCCGAGUGUCUGUGGGUUUUCGCUCCUCCCAUGAUUGAUGAAUUAAGGUCACUAAUUAGUAAGGAACUCCCCUCACCUGGUUGUCUAGGUCUUAAUUGAAAGGAAAAAACAAAAACCAGCAGACACUAGGCCACAGGUGUCAAACUCAUUCCACGGGGCCGAGUGUCUGCGGGUUUUCGCUCCUCCCUUAUACUUGAUUGAUGAAUUAACAUCACUAAUUAGUUAGGAACUCCCCACACCUGGUUGUCUAGGGCUUUAUUGAAAGGAAAAACCAAAAACCUGCAGACACUAGGCCCUCCGUGGAAUGAGUUUGACACCCCUGCACUAGGCUCUCCAUGGAAUGAGAUUAACACCACUGGAAUAUAGCCUCGAAACAUGGUUUAAACUAUGGUUACAUUUCUUCAGCCCCAUCCCUCUGCUUUUUACAGAACCAUUGGCGGGGAGAACAAUUUAUUGUUUCACCUGGUGAUUUCCGAUUUAAACAUUGUUAAACUGUAAUGUACUGUGCUUGUGCGUGCUUAUUAGUUUAGUUAAUAAAAAACUAUCCUUGUCUUCAAGUAA